GAACAUGUGAUACAGAGUCAACAUUGAAAUUACUGUGAAUCAACAUGAAUAAUCAGAAUUUCUAGAGCAUUCAAUUUAGAUACAUGAAAGUUCCCUUCCAGGAGAGGGGUGGGAGCUUGGUUUUGACAAAAUUUUGUGGAGGACUACAAGAAAACUCUACAAUUGGAAAAAAUCAAAGAGACAAGGUGUAUAAAAAGAUAAAUUGGAAAAAUA
rnacentral:misc_RNA from 1 species